ACUUGUCCUUUCAACCAUUUUCAAGUGGCAGUAAUUGCAUUCAUAAUGUUUUGCAACAGUCACCACUAUUUCCAAAGUUUUUCAUCAGCCUCAACAGGAACUCUGCUUAUUACACAAUAGCUCCUUGUCCCUCCUUCUCCCGUCCCCUGUUAACAUCUAACUUACUUUCUGUCUCUAUGAAUUCGCAUAUUCUGGAUAUUCAUAUAAAUAGAACCAUACAAUGUUUAUCUUUUUGUGUCUGGCUUAUUUUACUUAGCAUAAUGUUUUCAAGAUUCAUCUACUCUGAGUUGUGCAUCACCACUUCAUUACUUAUUACAACUGAAUAAUAUUCCAUUGUACACAUACACCACGCUUUGUUCACCUGUUCAUCUGUUGACACUUGGGUUGUUCUCACCUGCUGGCUAUUGUGAAUGAUGCAGCUGUGAAUGCUGGCGUACAGGCACCUGUUUGAGUCCCUGUUCUCAGUUCUCUUGGGUAUAUAGCUAGACAUGAACUGCUGUGUCCUGUGGAAAUUCUGUGCUUUAUUUUUUGAGGAGUCACCAAACUCUUUUCCACAGUGGCUGCUGAGUGUUGUUGCAUCUCCUUCACUGUUAGUAGAAAUCCUGUCCCUGAGGCCUGCUCUUCCUCCAGUUCUGUGUUUAUCUCCCCCAGGUACCCCUCUUCCCCUGGUUCCCCUGGAACCAAGCCCAGAACCUGGCACAGGGCCUGUACUAAGUACAGGUGGGCCUGGGCAGGUGUGUGGAUGGACAGAUGAACUCCAACCACUGGAAGAUGGAGAUUUUUCCUGACUGUAUAUCAGGACAGCAAGAAACAGUAUGGUGCUGUGGAGAAACCCUGCAGCCAUAUUUGGUGAAAGAAUCCAACAAGAGACAUGAAUUCUGUCUCUUAGACAAGCCCUUAGUUUCUCUGUCUCAUUUGGCUCAUCUGUAAAGGCAGUUGCCCUCAUAAGGUGUUGAGACAUGAGAUCUGGGUGCAAAAGCCCUUUGGAAAGCCAAAGGCACCUGUGGGUGCUAGGGAUUGCAGAAGCCUGUAUGUGCCCCAGCAAUCAGAAGAGGGCCUGGCAGACGGGUGAGAUGAUUUCUUGCAUGCAUUCAUUCACACAUUCAGCUGUUAUUAUUCAAAUGCCUGCUCUGUGCCAGGCACUGUUCUGGAGGCUGGGACUCAGCUGUGAACAGGAGAGAGAAAAAAGCCCUGGCUUCAUCAGUCAGAGCAGCAAGUCCCCAGUCCUGACUCCCUCCCAUUCUCCUGGCUCCAAUUCUAGACUUUUUUUUAACAGAAAGCAAGAAGUGCUGGUGAAGAGCUUGUAUUUUAAGGAGUAUCUCCAGCUUUGAGGAGAAAAUCAAAGUUUAAACUGAAGAACAAAGAACAGGCCAGGUACUUUGUAAGUGAAGCAGCUUGAAACUCCAGGAGGGGGGAGCCAUUUUGGGGGGUUUCUGUAUGAGGGCCCAGGAGAGAAGAUUCAGGGUACUCCCCCUGCUGCUCCCUUCCCAGGAACAAUAAAAGCUGUGGCCUCCGAACUUCUUCUUGCAGGACUUUGGGGUUGGGGGACUGUGAGCAGGCUGUCUGCAAUACCAGGUCCAACUAGGAAUGGUGCCAGGUGACAGCUUGGCCCACUUUGGCCCCACUGGGAGAAAGAGGUCUGCUUCUUCAGUUUGGUCUCUGAGCCCUGUCCCCAGGAGCCCUCCAAGGAUCCCAGGAGCUGAGGCCACUGAGCUCCCAUCCCAUGCACUGGAUGUCAGUCAUCACUUUUAAUCCUCUCCAUGGCCCUUGAUCAUCUUGAUAAAACAGGCUCAGGGCAGGCUUCAAGAGUUCCGUUCAAAGUUUGGAAGAACUGCUUGCCCUGGGCUGGGCUUAGAAUGAGACCAGAUUCCUGCCCUAAAGGGUCCAGGAAGGUGUCCC